rnacentral:rRNA from 1 species
AUUGAACGCUAGCGGGAUGCUUUACACAUGCAAGUCGAACGGCAGCGCGGACUUCGGUCUGGCGGCGAGUGGCGAACGGGUGAGUAAUGUAUCGGAACGUGCCCAGUAGCGGGGGAUAACUACGCGAAAGCGUAGCUAAUACCGCAUACGCCCUACGGGGGAAAGCAGGGGAUCGUAAGACCUUGCACUAUUGGAGCGGCCGAUAUCAGAUUAGCUAGUUGGUGAGGUAACGGCUCACCAAGGCGACGAUCCGUAGCUGGUUUGAGAGGACGACCAGCCACACUGGGACUGAGACACGGCCCAGACUCCUACGGGAGGCAGCAGUGGGGAAUUUUGGACAAUGGGGGCAACCCUGAUCCAGCCAUCCCGCGUGUGCGAUGAAGGCCUUCGGGUUGUAAAGCACUUUUGGCAGGAAAGAAACGUCGCGGGCUAAUACCCCGUGGAACUGACGGUACCUGCAGAAUAAGCACCGGCUAACUACGUG